GUGAGGAAUAUUGGUCAAUGGGCGGGAGCCUGAACCAGCCAAGUCGCGUGAAGGAAGAAGGAUCUAUGGUUCGUAAACUUCUUUUGCAGGGGAAUAAAGUGCAGGACGUGUCCUGUUUUGUAUGUACCCUGAGAAUAAGGAUCGGCUAACUCCGUGCCAGCAGCCGCGGUAAUACGGAGGAUCCGAGCGUUAUCCGGAUUUAUUGGGUUUAAAGGGUGCGUAGGUGGUUUGAUAAGUCAGCGGUGAAAGUUUGCAGCUUAACUGUAAAAAUGCCGUUGAAACUGUCGGACUUGAGUGUAAAUGAGGUAGGCGGAAUGCGUGGUGUAGCGGUGAAAUGCAUAGAUAUCACGCAGAACUCCGAUUGCGAAGGCAGCUUACUAAGCUACAACUGACACUGAGGCUCGAAAGUGUGGGUAUCAAACAGGAUUAGAAACCCCUGUAGUCC
rnacentral:rRNA from 1 species